CCACUGUGAAAGACAGUAUGGAGUUUCCUCAAAAAGAGGUGUGGUGUUUAUUGUCUCUGGAGAGCAACAGGAGUCUAAAGCUCAAGGGACAGCUUUCCAUGACCUAAGCAAUGGAAUAAAGAGAACUAAAUUCCAGCUUUACGCAUUUGAUCUGCUCUUAAACUUUAGUCAGAGUUCUUUACAUCUCUUCACAAAAUGGGCCAAGUCAGUUAAGGAAAGUUACUGAGAAACUUUGAGGAUAUGUGAAUGAAUGAAUAUGAGGAACUGUGCAUUUUUAACGGCUAUGUUUGUGCACAUUUAAGAAUAGUGUUAUGUAAGUUUUAUAUGUGUAUGAAAUGAAUAAAUGUCCUUUAGUGUA